rnacentral:lncRNA from 1 species
GCGGUGGCGGCGGCGGUGGCGGCGGCGGCGGCGGCGGCGAUGGUUAUAAGAGGAAGAGGAUCGAAUGCUUAAUCAAAACCAUGGACGAGUUUUACUUAUUCGUCAAUAGUGGAGACUCGCUCCAACUUUUUCCCCAGAAUAGGGGAGGACAGUUCAGAUUACGUUUACCUAGAUCACACUUAAUGAAAGGAACGUGGGAGUGUGCUCUGUUGGAGAUGACCUUUGUACCGGCUUUUGAAACGUCUACGCAGAGGAUGUACGUGUGUUGCGAUCUGGUAAGGGAUGAAUCUUACGUCAGAGACACUUACCUGCCACUGCUUCAAUCCGUAGCCAUCAGAAAAGAAGAGACCACGGAGAU